rnacentral:rRNA from 1 species
AUACGGAGGAUGCGAGCGUUAUCCGGAUUUAUUGGGUUUAAAGGGAGCGUAGGCGGGAGCUUAAGUCAGCGGUUAAAUGGUGCGGCUCAACCGUGCCCUGCCGUUGAAACUGGGUUUCUUGAGAGUGCAAGAGGCGGAUGGAAUUCAUGGUGUAGCGGUGAAAUGCUUAGAUAUCAUGAAGAACUCCGAUUGCGAAGGCAGUCCGCUGGGGCACGUCUGACGCUGAUGCUCGAAGGUGCGGGAAUCAAACAGGAUUAGAUACCCUGGUAGUCCGCACGGUAAACGAUGAAUACCCGCUGUCGGCGGCAGACAGUCGGCGGCCAAGCGAAAGCGAUAAGUAAUCCACCUGGGGAGUACGCCGGCAACGGUGAAACUCAAAUGAAUUGGCGGGG